GGCCGGGAACUCAAAGGAGACUGCCAGUGAUAAACUGGAGGAAGGUGGGGAUGACGUCAAGUCAUCAUGGCCCUUACGAGUAGGGCUACACACGUGCUACAAUGGCGCAUACAAAGAGAAGCGACCUCGCGAGAGCAAGCGGACCUCAUAAAGUGCGUCGUAGUCCGGAUUGGAGUCUGCAACUCGACUCCAUGAAGUCGGAAUCGCUAGUAAUCGUAGAUCAGAAUGCUACGGUGAAUACGUUCCCGGGCCUUGUACACACCGCCCGUCACACCAUGGGAGUGGGUUGCAAAAGAAGUAGGUAGCUUAACCUUCGGGAGGGCGCUUACCACUUUGUGAUUCAUGACUGGGGUGAAGUCGUAACAAGGUAACCGUAGGGGAACCUGCGGUUGGAUCACCUCCUUACCUUAAAGAA
rnacentral:rRNA from 4 species